AAUCUCUCCCGUUCGAUGAUUUGCUGCUUCAAUAUUAUGUUUUGUAUUGAGUUUCUCAAUAAAGAUCGGAGUUUGAUCGGAAGACCGAAGGAAACGGUGUAUCCCAGUCGAGCGCAUUUGGUACUUCGUGACGUGAAAGGAGAACAAACAGAAUCCUUUCAGUGAGAAGCUUGUGUUGCUUAUGGGAUCACCAGUGCUCCCUUUGGAUUGAAGCUGCCAUGAAGCUGCAUGUAGGGAAGUAAUUAUUGUAGAUGUGCAUAGGUGGGAAGGGCUCCCGUGGAGAUUACUGGUAAUAGAGCAGCCAUUGACUUUGCCUACCGAUCCUGACAACGCGAUCUUACUUUUGGAAGACUAGCCUCCUUAGCACAGCAUUUUCAGUACUGAUUCUUGGAACUACAAAAUUAGACAAAAAGUAUCAAGCAAAAUGGUGGGUAUUUUGGUAUGCUUGGGUAUGAAACUUUUAACAUCUAGGAAAUUGACGAUUACAAUUAAGUCACAGUGUGAUUGUAGUGAGACGACUGGAAGUAUGGUGGUUUAGCAUUACUUCUAUCAUAUAUAGUUAGUACAACAUGUAUGUUGAACUUUAUGUGUGUCGAUCUUCUUUAUAGUAAAUUGUAAUGACUAUGUACUCUUUUGUAGCAGCAUUUCUAAUCUUCAUGUGUACCUGGGGCUUGCUUAAUUAUCUUAAUCAAAACAGAGUUUUUUUAAUCUAUUCCGACACUCAGAUUAGAAGUCUCAAGAAGCUGAUGCCUUGUGACAUAUAAUGUGAAGUGAAAGAUGAAAACCUGUUGGACUACUACUUGCAAAAUAGCAUUUUGACAAAGUUGAUGAAGCGUUGUUCACAUUGCUGGAUGGUACGUGCACAUCACAACAAGAGUAGCAUGAAAACCUGUUGGACUACCUGCAAAGCACCAUUUUAGCACACUCGAUAAUGUCAUGGUUUAAAAUAUCAGUUGUACUGACAUGUUCCUGUUGGUAGUUACCAGUCUGAUCGAGCAUAGGGAAGAAAAGGAAACAAGGAUAAGUAUCUUCUUGGCAAUGAGGAGUGGGAAAAAGUUUCAUGGCUUGCUGUCAGGACUGCCCUUACAACUGGAACUCUUGUGGAUGCUGAACCAACGAAUCAAACCACUUCAUUACACCUCCCCUUUUCUGUCUCACCCAACAUGGGUGACUCCUGCAUCUAAAACCAUUCAUGCUUGCUAACAAAGCCAACAUCACUUCUUACAUGCUCAUGACCAUCCCUCUCAUUUUCUUCCCCUCCUAGUCCAUGCUGUAUUCCUCUCUCUCCUCUUUCAUUCAUGAAGCGCUUCAUUAGAGACCAAUCGACGGAUAGGUGGAGAUGGUGAGAUGCAAUCCACCGGAAAGCUCAAGAACUCACUCACUGCAGGGUUUGAGAAGCUGAUCAAGAGCUUGUCCCAGUAUUUUGUGCUUUACCAGGGAGAGGACAAAGAGGUGGGGAUGGAGAUUGGAUUUCUCACUGAUGUGGAGCAUGCUGCUCCUAUAGGCCGUGAAGGAUUCGACUCUCCAGAGUUCCUUUCCUUUUCAUUGAAGCAGUUUGAGCUGGCCAUGGUAGCACAUGUUGGUGCCUCUCCACCUCAUGGUCCCCAUGAGGUGCUUCUCACUUGAACACCUUGGGUUCUUGCGUUUCUCGCAGUCUGUUGCUUGUGGUGAUAGAGAGGGGAAGCAUGUGAACUUGUAUAGCUUGCUGUGACAUGAGAAUCUAUCGACAUUUUCUGGUUC